CCUACGGGUGGCAGCAGUGGGGAAUAUUGGACAAUGGGCGAAAGCCUGAUCCAGCCAUGCCGCGUGUGUGAAGAAGGCCUUCGGGUUGUAAAGCACUUUCAGUGGGGAAGAAAGCCUUGGGGCUAAUACCCUCGAGGAAGGACAUCACCCACAGAAGAAGCACCGGCUAACUCCGUGCCAGCAGCUGCGGUAAUACGGAGGGUGCGAGCGUUAAUCGGAAUUACUGGGCGUAAAGCGCGCGUAGGCGGUCUGAUAAGCCGGUUGUGAAAGCCCCGGGCUCAACCUGGGAACGGCAUCCGGAACUGUCAGGCUAGAGUGCAGGAGAGGAAGGUAGAAUUCCCGGUGUAGCGGUGAAAUGCGUAGAGAUCGGGAGGAAUACCAGUGGCGAAGGCGGCCUUCUGGACUGACACUGACGCUGAGGUGCGAAAGCGUGGGUAGCAAACAGGAUUAGAUACCCCAGUAGUC
rnacentral:rRNA from 1 species